AUUAAACGGCCGCGGUAUCCUAACCGUGCAAAGGUAGCAUAAUCAUUUGUCUAUUAAUUGUAGACCUGUAUGAAAGGCAAAAUGAGAGUCCAACUGUCUCUUGUAACAAAUCAAUUAAACUGAUCUCCUAGUACAAAAGCUAGAAUAUUAACAUAAGACCAGAAGACCCUGUGAAGCUUUAACAAACCUAUUAAACCCAAUAAUAAUUACUUUCGGUUGGGGCGACCUUGGAACAAAAAAGAACUUCCAACACAUGACUUCCUCAUAAAACAGGCACACAAGCCAAUAAUAGACCCAGCAUAGCUGAUAAUUGAAAUAAGUUACUCCAGGGAUAACAGCGCCAUCUUCUUUAAGAGCCCAUAUCAAAAAGAAGGUUUACGACCUC
rnacentral:rRNA from 1 species